CCUACGGGUGGCAGCAGUGAGGAAUAUUGGUCAAUGGGCGCGAGCCUGAACCAGCCAAGUAGCGUGCAGGAUGACUGCCCUACGGGUUGUAAACUGCUUUUGUACGGGGAUAACAUCCUCCACGUGUGCCUGUUUGUAUGUACUUUGUGAAUAAGGAUCGGCUAACUCCGUGCCAGCAGCCGCGGUAAUACGGAGGGUCCGAGCGUUAUCCGGAUUUAUUGGGUUUAAAGGGAGCGUAGAUGGGUGGUUAAGUCAGUUGUUAAAGUUUGCGGCUCAACCGGAAACUUGCAAUUGAUACUGGAAGCCUUGAGUACAGUACAGGGAGGCGGAAUUCGUGGUGUAGCGGUGAAAUGCAUAGAUAUCACGAAGAACCCCGAUUGCGAAGGCAGCCUACCAAGGUGCCACUGACAUUGAUGCUCGAAAGUGUGGGUAUCAAACAGGAUUAGAUACCCUUGUAGUC
rnacentral:rRNA from 1 species